AGAGUUUGAUCCUGGCUCAGGAUGAACGCUAGCGGCAGGCCUAACACAUGCAAGUCGAGGGGCAGCGAGGAGUGCUUGCACUCUGUCGGCGACCGGCGCACGGGUGCGCACCGCGUAUGGAACCUGCCUUUUGCAGGGGAAUAGCCCAGGGAAACUUGGAUUAAUGCCCCGUAGUCCCUGACCAUUGCAUAAUGCGUCAGGGUAAAGCCUUCGGGCGGCAAGAGAUGGCCAUGCGUCCCAUUAGCUAGAUGGUAAGGUAACGGCUUACCAUGGCCACGAUGGGUAGGGGCCCUGAGAGGGGGAUCCCCCACACUGGUACUGAGACACGGACCAGACUCCUACGGGAGGCAGCAGUGAGGAAUAUUGGACAAUGGGCGGGAGCCUGAUCCAGCCAUGCCGCGUGCAGGAAGACGGCCCUAUGGGUUGUAAACUGCUUUUAUACGGGAAGAAAAACAGCUACGCGUAGUUGACUGACGGUACCGUAAGAAUAAGGACCGGCUAACUCCGUGCCAGCAGCCGCGGUAAUACGGAGGGUCCGAGCGUUAUCCGGAAUUAUUGGGUUUAAAGGGUCCGUAGGCGGGCCAUUAAGUCAGGGGUGAAAGUCUGCGGCUCAACCGUAGAAUUGCCUUUGAUACUGGUGGUCUUGAGUUAUGGUGAAGUGGCUGGAAUAUGUAGUGUAGCGGUGAAAUGCAUAGAUAUUACAUAGAACACCGACAGCGAAGGCAGGUCACUAACCAUAUACUGACGCUGAUGGAC
rnacentral:rRNA from 1 species